rnacentral:rRNA from 1 species
AGAGUGAACGCUGGCGGCAUGCCUAACACAUGCAAGUCGAACGGUAACAGGCCCGCAAGGGUGCUGACGAGUGGCGGACGGGUGAGGAAUACAUCGGAAUCUGCCCGGUUGUGGGGGAUAACGUAGGGAAACUUACGCUAAUACCGCAUACGUCCUACGGGAGAAAGCGGGGGAUCUUCGGACCUCGCGCGGUCAGACGGACCGAUGUUCGAUUAGCUAGUUGGUAAGGUAAUGGCUUACCAAGGCGACGAUCGAUAGCUGGUCUGAGAGGAUGAUCAGCCACACUGGAACUGAGACACGGUCCAGACUCCUACGGGAGGCAGCAGUGGGGAAUAUUGGACAAUGGGCGCAAGCCUGAUCCAGCAAUGCCGCGUGUGUGAAGAAGGCCUUCGGGUUGUAAGCACUUUAUCGGAACGAAUACCACGGGUUAAUAACCUGUGGGCGUGACGGUACCCGAGGAAUAAGCACCGGCUAACUCGUGCCAGCAGCCGC